UGCGAUCCUCCUCAGUCACAGAUGAUGG
rnacentral:piRNA from 1 species